UAGGUUGUUGAUGGGUAGGUGGUAGCUGAGUAGGUGGUUGGUGGUAUGUGGGUAAGUGGAAGGUGGUUGGUGGGUAGGUGGGAAGGUGGGAAGGUGAUUGGUUUGGUAGGUGGUUGGUUGGUUGGUAAGUGGUUUGUGGGAAGGUGGUUGGUGGGAAAGUGGGAAGGUGGUUGGUGGGACAGUGGUUGGUGGGAAUGUGGGAAGGUGGUUGGUGGGACGGUGGGUAGAUGGAAGGUGGUUGGUUGGUAAGUGGUUUGUGGGACGGUGGUAGGUGGUUGGUUGGGAGGUGGUUUGUGGGACGGUGGUUGGUGG